rnacentral:lncRNA from 10 species
GGGCAAGGGGCGCACAAAGGGGCUCUGUUCCUGUGCCCCCAGGGUGCCCCCUCUGCCUGCCUGGCUCUCAUGGUUGUCAAAACAGAGGGAACAUUCCUCAGCUGACCCAGGACACAAAGGCUUGUCCUGGGCUGGGAGCGAGGCGCAGUGGUUUCAUUAGUCCAGGCACAGUCAUAAAUCCCUCCCCGGAAGCCUGGCCUGCCGCCUCAACGACCAGCCUGAGAGCCAUGGCCAGUCCCACAAGUCCAAGGUUGUUAAUUUUAAAAAUGACAUAACAAGGAAUUUCAUUGAGCCAAGAAAAUGCUUGAUAAAGGAAUCCCAGAAGAAAGCAUAAAGGGUAUAUCUUCAAAUAAAUAAAAAGAUUGCUUUCAGAUGGCAAUGAAUUAGGAGAUUAUUCUUCCUGGCAAAACCAGGCUAUGUAUGCAUGCCCUCCUGCUGCAAACAUCUUAAGGGAGGAGCCAGUCCCUGGAUGGCUUUCAGCAGUGCCUGCAUGAUAUAUGUAGGGUACACAGUCCAUGGAUAGAGCCGUGAUGGAAACAAAGGAACACAUAGUGCAAAGAUGAAAAGAGAUUUUUAAAAAGAGAACAAAAGGGAGAACAAAGCAAAGUAAGCAGAAGAGACCCCAUCGCAGUGAAGCAGCUGCCCCUUGCAACGCGUGUCCCACUCACACUGGAGUCGCUUGCCUGGAUUCUGAGCAGCUCUCUGGCUAUCAGCACUGUUUAAAAUAUGACAACAUCUGACCUCAAGAUUUUCCUAUAGAAUACACUGGCUGACAGAAAGAUGUACUGUAGCGGGUCUUAAUAUUCUUUCUUUGGCACAGGGCUGUGAGACCAGGAAAGCAAUACGGGUGUAGUCAGGUGGAAAUAUCCAUAACCAUCAUAGCAGAAAAUACUCAGAUGCAAAAAAUGGAUUAUUUUUAGUAGAAGGAAACAAGUUAAAGAAAAGUAGAGAGAAGGUACCUUCAACCAAAUAACAUUUCACAGUGGUUAUGUAUUUUUUUGAAAUAGAAUUUUAUUUACUUAUUUCUGCUUCAGAGACAUUAUGUGGCCCUAUGGUCUAUGAAUAUCAUCUUAAUUGUUCUUUAACAUUUAAUUAAUAUUUACAUAAUUUAAUAUCUUCAUUUAAUAUUUACCCCAAAUGAGCCAGG